rnacentral:rRNA from 1 species
CAGUAGCCACGGUAAUACGGAGGGUGCAAGCGUUAAUCGGAAUUACUGGGCGUAAAGCGCACGCAGGCGGUCUGUCAAGUCAGAUGUGAAAUCCCCGGGCUUAACCUGGGAACUGCAUUUGAAACUGGCAGGCUAGAGUCUUGUAGAGGGGGGUAGAAUUCCAGGUGUAGCGGUGAAAUGCGUAGAGAUCUGGAGGAAUACCGGUGGCGAAGGCGGCCCCCUGGACAAAGACUGACGCUCAGGUGCGAAAGCGUGGGGAGCAAACAGGAUUAGAUACCCCAGUAGUCCCUGUCUUUUAUAC